rnacentral:lncRNA from 1 species
AAGAAUUGUCAUGAUUACAAGAGUCAGACAUAGAGCAUACAAAAGUAGAUGAACAACCAGUAGAGGAAGAAGGGGAAGCUGGAAGCCAAGCAAGCUUGUAUAGACAAGCCUCCUCUUUACCAAGAUCCAGAGGCUUCCUCAGAGAAGGGUCAUGUAUCAUGUGGAUGAAGCAGGAAGUUGCAGUGAACAAAACUAUGCAAUUCAACUGUUUCGCUAACUUGUGGACAGAAAUCAAGUUGUGUUUAAAAGAAGGAACUAACAAGAC